AAUGCUACAGGUUUUACCAUAUAAUUCUACCUAAAAAAGAUGAAACAUUUCUCCACUCUACUUGCAACAGAACCAACUUCCAAAGGGAUUUCACAUUAACAACUAAAACACAAAUGGGAAUGAGCAUAAAAGAGGGAAGAGAGCUUACAAGUCAAGUUCUGAUCCCCCAAUCUCGUGGACAGAAGCAACUAAACUUCCACAGGUGACACCAGCGACUUGGCAGCGAGCUGGAACUUUGAAGGCUCUUUCUCCCAGAGGGGUAGUUAUGAGAGAAGACAGGAUUUUCC